rnacentral:rRNA from 1 species
AUUGAACGCUGGCGGCAGGCCUAACACAUGCAAGUCGAGCGGAUGAGUGGAGCUUGCUCCAUGAUUCAGCGGCGGACGGGUGAGUAAUGCCUAGGAAUCUGCCUGGUAGUGGGGGACAACGUUUCGAAAGGAACGCUAAUACCGCAUACGUCCUACGGGAGAAAGCAGGGGACCUUCGGGCCUUGCGCUAUCAGAUGAGCCUAGGUCGGAGUAGCUAGUAGGUGAGGUAGUGGCUCACCUGGGCGACGAUCCGUAACUGGUCUGAGAGGAUGAUCAGUGACACUGGAACUGAGACACGGUCCAGACUCCUACGGGAGGCAGCAGUGGGGAAUAUUGGACAAUGGGCGAAAGCCUGAUCCAGCCAUGCCGCGUGUGUGAAGAAGGUCUUCGGAUUGUAAAGCACUUUAAGUUGGGAGGAAGGGCAGUAAGUUAAUACCUUGCUGUUUUGACGUUACCAACAGAAUAAGCACCGGCUAACUUCGUGCCAGCCGCCGCAGUAACAC